rnacentral:rRNA from 1 species
GACGAACGCUGGCGGCGUGCCUAAUACAUGCAAGUAGAACGCUGAAGAGAGGAGCUUGCUCUUCUUGGAUGAGUUGCGAACGGGUGAGUAACGCGUAGGUAACCUGCCUUGUAGCGGGGGAUAACUAUUGGAAACGAUAGCUAAUACCGCAUAACAAUGUAUGGCACAUGUCUUUUAUUUGAAAGGGGCACUUGCUCCACUACAAGAGGGACCUGCGUUGUAUUAGCUAGUAGGUGAGGUAAUGGCUCACCUAGGCGACGAUACAUAGCCGACCUGAGAGGGUGAUCGGCCACACUGGGACUGAGACACGGCCCAGACUCCUACGGGAGGCAGCAGUAGGGAAUCUUCGGCAAUGGGGGCAACACUGACCGAGCAACGCCGCGUGAGUGAAGAAGGUUUUCGGAUCGUAAAGCUCUGAUGUAAGUCAAGAACGGGUGUGAGAGUGGAAAGUUCACACUGUGACGGUAGCUUACCAGAAAGGGACGGCUAACUACGUG